rnacentral:rRNA from 1 species
AGUGAACGCUGGCGGUAGGCCUAACACAUGCAAGUCGAACGGCAGCACAGUAAGAGCUUGCUCUUACGGGUGGCGAGUGGCGGACGGGUGAGGAAUACAUCGGAAUCUACUUUUUCGUGGGGGAUAACGUAGGGAAACUUACGCUAAUACCGCAUACGACCUACGUGUGAAAGCAGGGGAUCUUCGGACCUUGCGCGAUUGAAUGAGCCGAUGUCGGAUUAGCUAGUUGGCGGGGUAAAGGCCCACCAAGGCGACGAUCCGUAGCUGGUCUGAGAGGAUGAUCAGCCACACUGGAACUGGGACACGGUCCAGACUCCUACGGGAGGCAGCAGUGGGGAAUAUUGGACAAUGGGCGCAAGCCUGAUCCAGCCAUACCGCGUGGGUGAAGAAGGCCUUCGGGUUGUAAAGCCCUUUUGUUGGGAAAGAAAAGCAGCAGGUUAAUACCCCGCUGUUCUGACGGUACCCAAAGAAUAAGCACCGGCUAACUUCGUG